rnacentral:misc_RNA from 1 species
UGUCUAUAUGUAAUAUAAGAGAAACAGAACCAAAUCUAUGCUCCAAGUCUCCAAUUAAUAAGAACUAAACUAUUUCAAAAUGAAAAAACCGUUUGCAAAUGCACAUCUCAAUCUUAAGCACAUAUUAUCACAAUACGCAUUUAAAAAAAGCAUAUCACAAUACUCAUCUAACAACAAUGAAACAAAAAAUUAAAAGGAAACAAAAAAAAAAAGAUAGAUAAAGUGCUGCUGCUGGAUCAAAAAAUGGUGGGACUGGGAGAGAAGAAAGAAUAGAAGAGGAGAGAAGGAGAAGAGAAGAGAUG